UCUCGAUGGCGUAAAAGUUAACUCAAAUUUGUAAGAGUUAAAACGCUUGCCUAGGUUUACCGCUAGGGGCGCUGUUUCAACUGCAUACAAAUUUGAGUUAACUUUUACGCUAUCGA
rnacentral:pre_miRNA from 9 species